rnacentral:lncRNA from 10 species
CGGGGGGGCUGCAUGGGAGUCUGUGGGGCUACUGCACGCGGGCGUUGUCCAAGCAGAGAUUGUGCACCCCCAGGGAGGACGUGGCCCUCCGCCUCCGCUCCCGAGGGAGAAGCGGCGGUUUUCCCAGUUAUGCCACAGUGACCUGCGCGGCGCGGAGUCAAGGAACUCACCUGGGAUCCGGCCGCAGCGCCCUGGCGCCUCCCGGCCCUUGCUACCGACCCCUCUUUCAGGUUGAGCAGCUGGGCAGGGGUUGCCGGGAGCAGCCUUUGGAGGUCUAAACACAGGCAGCCGAAGAGGCAGCCAGACCUGGACGGACCCUCUGUUUCUUUGCAGAAAAACACUGAAAUUGACAAGCUGCCAGGUGCAGUGGCUCAUGCUUGUACUGCCAGCACUUUGGAAGGCCAAGACAUAUGUUGAAAUGGAAUCUUCAGUGUUGGAGAUGGGGCCUGCUGGGAGAUGUUUUGGUCAUGGGGUGGAUUCCUCGGGGCUUGGUGCUGUCCUUGCAAUGGUGAGUAUUCGUGAGAUCUGGUUAAGUGGGAGCCUCCCCUCCCACUCUCUCUUGCUCCCACUUCUGCCGUGUGAGACCCCUGCUCCCCCUUUGCCUUCCACCGUUAUUGGAAGCUUCCGGAUGCCAUGCUUCCUUUACAGCCUGCAGAACCAUAAGCCAAUUAAACCUCUUUUUAA